AGCGAACGCUGGCGGCGGGCCUAACACAUGCAAGUCGAACGAACCUUUCGGGGUUAGUGGCGGACGGGUGAGUAACACGUGGGAACGUGCCUUUAGGUUCGGAAUAACUCAGGGAAACUUGUGCUAAUACCGAAUGUGCCCUUCGGGGGAAAGAUUUAUCGCCUUUAGAGCGGCCCGCGUCUGAUUAGCUAGUUGGUUGAGGUAAUGGCUCACCAAGGCGACGAUCAGUAGCUGGUCUGAGAGGAUGAUCAGCCACAUUGGGACUGAGACACGGCCCAAACUCCUACGGGAGGCAGCAGUGGGGAAUCUUGCGCAAUGGGCGAAAGCCUGACGCAGCCAUGCCGCGUGAAUGAUGAAGGUCUUAGGAUUGUAAAAUUCUUUCACCGGGGACGAUAAUGACGGUACCCGGAGAAGAAGCCCCGGCUAACUUCGU
rnacentral:rRNA from 1 species